AUGCAAACCUCUUUUCUGCCAGGGGACCAGCCACCUGUGGUCACUUCCUGUUAUGCCUUUUCAAGAGGUCACCUACCAUUUCCGAGUGUCACAUUCAAGUCAAGCGGGAGUGUAGCAGUGAAGACGACAUUGAGUCCUCACGGUGCUCUGAGUACAGUUUCCUCAUUCAAACCACAUGCUAAGCAGUGUCGAGAUUCAUGCUAUUCAGCUUCGACUUCUCAUGUGUACACUUGUAUCGCCACCUCUGAUUCAAAGACUGUUUCAUCUGGGCGAACUGAUGAAGACGUCUUAACUGUGUUUGUUCUGCGCGUAUAUGUUCAAAGCAAAAGGAAAUUAGCAUUGUUCAAAAAAACAACAACAAAAAUACGAGAUCACUUCGCCUUAACCUUGAUUUAUAUUACUGCUUAUAUACACUCUUGCACACAUACACACACCAUACAUUUACUUAUUAAAUGUCUUUUGAUUUGCCAAGAUAUAAUAUAAAAAGGUACCAUUCUUAAAACUCAUCUGCUUGAAUCUACAUUCAAAAAAAAAAAAAUUUUGUGCAUGAUUCAUCAGUGCAGAUUAUUCCACAGAAAUCAGUGCACAUUAUUUGCAUUUCUUUUAAAUGUCAUUAAACUGGAUUUGUUAACAUGACAUCAGUUUAAUAAAUUUUAAAACAAUAUUUUACCCAAAAAUUAAAAUUUGCUGAAAAUACAGGUACUCUCAGGCCAUUCAAGAUGUAGAUGAGUUUGUUUCUUCAUCAGAUUUGGAGAAAUGUAGCAUUACAUCACUUGCUCACCAAUGGAUGCUCUGCAGUGAAUGGGUGCCGUCAGAAUGAGAGUCUUUCUUAUGGUUAAUGCUAUAAGUUUCUCCAAAUCUGCUUCUUGCUUAGGAGCAUUCUUCCGCUUUCUUAUGUCAGUUUUAAACAGCUGUCUUUAUAAUGGACUAUCUGUAUUUCAUUUUUUUCUGGACCACUGACUAUUUAUACACUGGAAAUGGCUUUAACUGCGCCAGCUCUUUAUUAAUGAUAUGCAAAUCAGGUUGUUUACAUCAAGUUUUGUUAACCUUCCCAUAACUGCUGUCAAACACUGUGGAGGGUUUUAGUAAUAAUAAACAGGCAGGGUCUCUACGUUCCUGCUGUCGCGUCCACUGGAGAGAAACAGCUAAGAUACAGGUAUAAAGUAAGCAGUGUAGAAAGUACAGUAUGAAUAGCUACUGAAGUAAAGAUAUCAGCUCAUCUCAAGAAAGAAAGAAACGAGGAACCAUAAAUAAAAGCAACUACUGGAUUUGUCCAAGUUAGUCACUGGAUAUCUUUUAAAAACUGGAACCAGCAGCAAUCACAAGUCAAACACUGGAUCAUUAUCACCAUUGGAAACACUUCAUAUUGAGUUUUACUACGGUACUUAUGUUACUUUGUCACUUAUUCCCUUUCCAUCUUUACACUGUAUAUUCUUUCAUUUUUUUUAAUGCAUUGUUCUAACUUUAGUAUGCUGCUAUACGUCAUGCUAUACUUUAUAUAGCAGUAACCAAUGAUUGUGUCAAAAUAAAUCUUUUGAGCAGUAUAUAUGCAGAAUAUUCGUGUACAGUUUAAUCUGAACAUUUUUUUGUCUAAACAGUUGAAACAUCACUUUUGAUCAGAGAAUUUGUCAGAGAAUAUGUCCAAACCUCAGUAGAUUCAUUCUAAUAUCUUUGUGCCUCCUUCCCCCUUUUUUAUUUUGGAAGAAAGCAGUAUAAAAAAUCCAGCACUAUGUAAAUUUCAACACCAUAGAGUCUUUUUGUCUCUGUUUGUUUCUUAUCCUUGUACACGUAACAUUUCACUACUUAAAAUAAAAGUAGCUUAAAAGGUUCUUCACAGAACCAUUUUGGUUCCAACAAAAGAACCAUUCAGUCAAAGGUUCUUUAAAGAACCAUCUCUUUCUC
rnacentral:lncRNA from 1 species